GACGAACGCUGGCGGCGUGCCUAAUACAUGCAAGUAGAACGCUGAAGAGAGGAGCUUGCUCUUCUUGGAUGAGUUGCGAACGGGUGAGUAACGCGUAGGUAACCUGCCUGGUAGCGGGGGAUAACUAUUGGAAACGAUAGCUAAUACCGCAUAAAAUUGAUUAUUGCAUGAUAAUUAAUUGAAAGAUGCAAUUGCAUCACUACCAGAUGGACCUGCGUUGUAUUAGCUAGUUGGUGAGGUAACGGCUCACCAAGGCAACGAUACAUAGCCGACCUGAGAGGGUGAUCGGCCACACUGGGACUGAGACACGGCCCAGACUCCUACGGGAGGCAGCAGUAGGGAAUCUUCGGCAAUGGACGGAAGUCUGACCGAGCAACGCCGCGUGAGUGAAGAAAGGUUUUCGGAUCGUAAAAGCUCUGUUGUAAAGAGAAAGAAACG
rnacentral:rRNA from 1 species